rnacentral:rRNA from 1 species
UGGUGGAGCGAUUUGUCUGGUUAAUUCCGAUAACGAACGAGACUCUGGCCUAUUAAAUAGUUCGCCGAUUCCGAUCUGUCGGCGUUAACUUCUUAGAGGGACAAGUGGCUUUUAGCCACGCGAGAUUGAGUAAUAACA